UAUAUUAAAGUUGUUGCAGUUAAAAAGCUCGUAGUUGGGUUUGUGGUCGGAGCGACCGUCCCUUCACUCAGUGUUGGUGUUGUGUCGUCUCUGACCAUCCUUGGGUGGAACCUGUGUGGCAUUAAGUUGUCGUGCAGGGGAUGCCCAUCGUUUACUGUGAAAAAAUUAGAGUGUUCAAAGCAGGCUUACGCCGUUGAAUAUAUUAGCAUGGAAUAAUAAGAUAGGACCUGGGUACUAUUUUGUUGGUUUGCGCACCCUGGUAAUGAUUAAUAGGGACAGUUGGGGGUAUUCGUAUUCCAUUGUCAGAGGUGAAAUUCUUGGAUUUUUGGAAGACGAACUACUGCGAAAGCAUUUACCAAGGA
rnacentral:rRNA from 1 species